CAGCAGGGUGCGUGAGUUCCCAGGGGAGCGAGAGCAACAGCAGCUUGUGUUUGAUUGCAAUGCCCUCCUCUGAGGUGACGAGAACCGCAGGUGGUGCCUGUUCAGGGACCCCUAGUGGGAGCGGGCCAUGACCAUCUCUGGAGUCAGUGAUAACUGUGGUGGUUUGCCCCUGCCACCUGUAGAUGGUGCAUGAAGCAACCCGUCUCACUUAGCCCACAUAGGAGGUGCUGUACAGGCUGCUCCUAGUUAUAGGAUCCUGGGAAGUGACAGAGAUCAGGCGUGUGGGGACUGCCCGUGGCAUUCAGCAGUGGCAGCAGGAGGGCGGGUGUGUUCCCAGGGAGUGAGAGCACCAGCAGGUGGUGCUCGGUCACAGUGCCCUCCUCUGUGGUGCCCUUGAGGUGAAUGGGGCUGCAAGUGGUAUGUGUUCAUGGACCCCAGUGGUGGCAAGCCACUCCCACCUCUGGAGCCAGAGACAACUGCAGUGGUUUGCCCCUCCCUCCUGUAGACCAUGCCAGAAGCACCUCGUCCUGUUUAGCUCCCAGAGGAGGUGCUGCAUAAGCUGCUCCUAGUUGCAGGUUCCUGGGAAGGGACAGUGAUGAAGCAUCCGAGCACUGCCCAGAGUGUUUGGCAGUGGCAGCAGCAGGGAGGGUGUGCUCCCAGGGGAGCGAUCGCAACAACAGCGUAUGGUGAUUGGUUGCAGUGCCCUCUUCUUUUCUUUUGUGUCAACCCCUGAGGCGACUGGGGUCACAGGUGGGGCCCACUCACAGGCCCCCAAUGGUGGCAAGCCAUACCUCCCUAUGGCCUCUGAGAGGACCGGUGGGGUCUGUCCCUGUCAUCUGUAGAUUGUGCAAGAGGCACCAUGUGGCACUUAGCCCCCCGAUGGCCUUGGCCCAAUCGAGAUGUGCCUACCACCAGUAGCCUGCACCAGAAGUGCCCAGUCUCCCUAAACACGCAAGAGGCUUCUCACUGCCCAUAGCCUGUGUUAGAGCUGCUCUGCCCUCUGCGAGCCCGCAGUGUAGGGCGUUUCCUCUGGCGUCCGCCCCUCCUCCUCUCCCUCUUCCCAACUCUGGUGCCUCGCCCCUCCUGCAGGUCCAGACCUUCUCCCCGGUUCCCUCUGCCGUGGUGUUCCCCUCCUCAGCCCAUGGCGUACCACUCCCCCCGCCCGUGGCGCCCUGCUCCUCAGCCCCUCAGGCUGUCCCCAGUCCUCUCCCCGG
rnacentral:lncRNA from 1 species